rnacentral:lncRNA from 1 species
AAUUUCGAGAUGAAUCAAGUUCGGGCAGAGAGUUGAGUUUGAAGUUUUUUGAAGUUUGAAAGGUUAGAAGGUUUAAAUUCGAUUGCAUGUCAUUAGUUACUUACUUAAUUCAAGAUUAAUUCUCUUUCUCGGCUAUACAUGAUCAAUUUCAAGAUGGAUGAAUUUCGAGCAAUGAUGUGUAUUGAAUUACUUGCUUAAUUCACAAUAGAUACAUGUUUAAUUCACUUGUUAGUAUUUGUGUAAUACAACUUUAAUUCACUUUUCUGAUUCAAUUUUAAUACAGUGUAACACACUUUUAAUACAAGUUAAAUUCAUUUUUGAGUGUGCUA